UUUGUGUGUGAAUGUGUUUGAGCUAUGAAACUCUCAAGUGUUUAAAGAAAGUUUGAAGUGUUGCGCAUUGUGCUUAUGCAUUCCUUAAUACAAUGUUUUAUCCUGUUGGAUAGUACGAGCAAACAGCUCCGUGCAACGUGUCUAGUAAAGGCUUGCCAAUUUCAGCUGUAAUGGCGGUGUCCAUAUCUGAAGCGGUGAUCAUCUAAUUUAUCCAACGGACUUUUUGCACUGAAAGAAUAUUCGCGGCUCUCUUAUCAAGGACUUAGAAUUGAAUGCAUAAUGCAAGAAUAACCUUACUGAAAAGUCAAGCGAGACAACGCCAACUAAGUCUUCGAAGGUGUAGCUUAUGUGUUCUUGCAACUCUAUCGGGAAAUCGAAGAUUACAAGCUGCAUAAAUUCUACGGGCGGAUGCAACAAUGGGUGAAACGUGACUUACUCGCUGGCUACAGAUACUUCAAAGAACAUUCUGCAUCUACCCAAGUCGGGGAGCUCUAAGCCGUAAUCUUUUCAUGAAGACAUAAAAAUUCCAAAAUCAACCAAGCCUGGGAUAACUCGCAAGUCAUCUCCGAUCUCGUAUGUAGAUCUUGGAGCAUUAAUGCUUUGUAAAGAAGCCUAUAUGGAAAAUGGGCUUGCAAAGGGUGAUAUUUUUUAUUUCAACUAGCUCUAUUAAGUUUGGAAAGUAUUUUGAACAUUUUUGGAGCAAGUUCAGUCCUUUCUCGCUGAUCAUUUAAAAUUGUAAUGGUCUCAUUGAAAGUCUCUAAACAUGCAUGUGCCAGUAAAAUCAACUUGAGAUUUAAAAUCGCCUUUCAACUGUUUGUACAUAAAAGAAUCCUUACGAAAUUUUAUUAUUCAAGCUAUAAAACAGAAGCAAGGCCCUCAGUUUACAAGCUUAAGACGAGCGUGCUUCCAAAUAAAGAUGCGAAGCUUAAAUAGAUUCUAAUUUGAAUGUUGAAUUACUUAAAUAUAGCAAAGAAACUUCGUAAAACGCUUCCCGCAUGAAUAAUCGUAACUCAAAUUUUACUCACAAAUCCGAAUACUAGUUUUGGAUGCGAAAGCCUUUAUGUCGUUUUGAUAUCAAGUGCUACGUGUAACUCGCAUCUGGGUUAAGAACCUCUAUGUAUAAAGUUCAUCAGUGUCCUUUCAAACAUCAAAGAGCUUGAUUUUUUAUUGGAAUAGAAAUUCACAGUUCAUUAACUAUUUCACAAAUAAACUCCUACACAAGUAGUAUAUUAAAAUCAAUACGAAAUCGGAAUAAGUUUAGUUAUCCUAUUUAAAUAAACUGAAAUUAUAUAUUAAAAAUCUAAGUAAAUAUAUUAUCGAUACAUUAAGUAGAUCCGUUGAAAUCAAUUUUGGUCAAACAGUGCCGACUAGUCAUUUUACUUAAUAUAUGAAUAUUUGGUGAGCAUUUCGCGAGUCGUAGUCUUGACACCGCGUAUGACAUUGUAUUUUGAGCUAUUUACUUCAAACAUGAAGCGCGUUGAUAGACGGGAAAAAUACCCAAACCAUCUAUUGAGUAUUCCGAGAGUACUCCAUGCACCUAUAGUUCGACGGAAUUACUUGCAACUUUUAAAUUAUUCAGUGCUAACACAAGUUAAUUUCGGUGUCCCUGAAAUAAAGUUCAGUUAGAUCUUUAAAAAUCGGAUUUUUCCAACUUGAAAGUAUGAAGCUAAGCUUCUUUAUAAAAAUGAGGUGAACACUGUAGGAAUGCAAGGCAAGAUUUUAAAGCAAUGGGUCUCUCUACCAAGUGCGAAAACUUGAAUAUUAUGGGGAUAUUAUCAUUAAUAGCGAAAGCGGUAGAUAUUGUAUAUCAAGUUCAAUUAUUAACCUUGAUUAGAAAAUUUAAUAUUUUACCGAACUAACAUUUAACCAAUUUCUACGUAUUGUUUCUUAUCUUGCAUUGAUAAAUCAGAUCGCGAAUUGAAACUCGGUCCUCAAGGGGAGAAUAAAAUUAAUUCUUGGGGAGAAAGAGGGAGAUGUGUCGCCUGACCAACCUUUCAUACUUCGCGAAAAGUGGAGGAUGGGAUAGGUGCCAGCCGGCUGGUAAGAGGAAGGGGAUGCGAUUAUUUGAGUCUCGGUGCACCUCAU